rnacentral:rRNA from 1 species
UACGUAGGGUGCAAGCGUUGUCCGGAAUUAUUGGGCGUAAAGAGCUCGUAGGCGGUCUGUCGCGUCUGCUGUGAAAACUCAGGGCUUAACCCUGAGCUUGCAGUGGGUACGGGCAGACUAGAGUGCGGUAGGGGAGACUGGAAUUCCUGGUGUAGCGGUGAAAUGCGCAGAUAUCAGGAGGAACAUCAGUGGCGAAGGCGGCCCUCUGGUCCAGUACUGACACUCAAGUGCGAAAGCGUGGGGAGCAAACAGG